AUGCAUUUUCUGUCCAUCCGAUUGAUUCUGCAUACUUUUUAUCCAUGCGCUUUUAUGCGCACCCCAGUUAAAAAAAACCACCGGUUGCCUCGAUAUUGCGACGCUCUUUGAGUUACUUCCCCUGCUGAAAUACUCUUCAAAGGAGAUUGGCGCAAGUUAUAAAUUAAUUGAGAAAGUGCAGAAAUAUACCCAUAAAUUGGCCAUAAUACUACAACUACAAGAAGCAUUUUGAUGUCAGAGUCGUACUCACCGCAGGGCGCACAAGAUUUUUACUACGACUUCUGGGGUCAGGUCUCAGAGCCAGAGCCUGAGGCUGAACAGCCGGAUGCGGAGUAUAACGCUAGCCAUGAUUUGUUUGUGGUAUUGAAAACAACAGAUAUUUGUUUUGUUUUGGUGGUUGAUAAAAAUGUAUUUCAUGCUUGAUCCAGUGACAUGAAUGAGCACCAGAUGCAAUAUUUUCCAGUAGUAGGCAGUACUAGUGUUGGAGCGACCCUUUGACAUAUCUAUUGUCACGAAAUGAAAUGAAUUUUGAUCUUCAAACAUAUGAAAUAUUUUUAUUUUGCUCAGCUUAACUUCAGAAUUUUUUUUUACGGCAACUAUCAGAUGAAAAUUCGAUUUAUGUAUUUAGCAAACAGCAAGGUGACAAAAGAAUAAACUUAACUGUAGAAGAACUAGUUGUAAAUGUUAAAAAGUUGGUAACUGAUGCACACAGUAAGCCAUCUACCCAGCCUGCUGAUUGCACUCUGCUUGUUGGCCAGAAGGUGCGACACAGGUUUAACGAAAAUGAAGAAACUAGUGCAUUACAUUGGUCAAGUUAUAUCCCAGGUGCCAGGAUACAGUGAUUGGUACAAUAUCAAGUACUCCGGAGAUCCAGCCAUAUACACCUACCAGCUGUUAAAAGACUAUAGCCAGGGAGAUCUUGAAUUACUUGUUCAGUGAUUAAGGUGAUGAAUAUACUAUAGUAACACA